rnacentral:misc_RNA from 1 species
UUAAGUUCAGCGGGUAUCCCUACCUGAUCCGAGGUCAACCUAAGAAAAUGGGGGGUUGCUGGCAAGCAUCCACCGGGACCCUGUAGCGAGAAAGAUUACUACGCUUAGAGCCAGAUGGCGCCGCCACUGAUUUUAAGGGCCGCGGGACCGCGAACCCCAACACCAAGCCAGGCUUGAGUGGUUAUAAUGACGCUCGAACA